rnacentral:rRNA from 1 species
AUUGAACGCUGGCGGCAGGCCUAACACAUGCAAGUCGAGCGGAGCGGCGGACGGGUGAGUAAUGCCUAGGACUCUGACUGGUAGUGGGGGAUAACGUCCGGAAACGGGCGCUAAUAUCGCAUACUAUCAGAUGAGCCUAGGUCGGAUUAGCUCGUUGGUGGGGUAAAGGCCUACCAAGGCGACGAUCCUUAACUUGUCUGAGAGGAUGAUCAGUCACACUGGAACUGAGACACGGUCGAGACGCCUAAGCGGAGAAGCCGUGGGGGAUAUUGGCGAAUGGGCGAAAGCCUGGUCCAGCCAUGCCGCGUGUGGGAAGAAGGUCUUCGGAUUGUAAAGCACUGUAAGUUGGGAGGCGUUACCAACAGAAUAAGCACCGGCUAACUUCGUGCCAGCAGCCGCGGUAAUAC